rnacentral:rRNA from 1 species
GGGGUAGCCGUAGCGAAAGCGAGUCUGAAGAGGGCGUGUGAGUCGCAUGCUGUGGACCCGAAGCGGGGUGAUCUACCCAUGGCCAGGGUGAAGCGGCUGUAAGAGGUCGUGGAGGCCCGCACCUACCAGGGUUGAAAACCUGGGGGAUGAGUUGUGGGUAGGGGUGAAAGGCCAAUCAAACUCCGUGAUAGCUGGUUCUCCCCGAAAUGCAUUUAGGUGCAGCGUUGCGUGUGCUUGCCGGAGGUAGAGCUACUGUUUGGCUGAUGGGCCCGACAAGGUUACUGACGUCAGACAAACUCCGAAUGCCGGUCAAGCAGAGCGUGGCAGUGAGACUGCGGGGGAUAAGCUUCGUAGUCGAGAGGGAAACAGCCCAGAUCAUCAGCUAAGGCCCCUAAGCGUGUGCUAAGUGGGAAAGGUUGUGGAGUUGCUGAGACAACCAGGAGGUUGGCUUAGAAGCAGCCAUCCUUGAAAGAGUGCGUAAUAGCUCACUGGUCGAGUGGUUCUGCGCCGAUAAUGUAGCGGGGCUUAAGUACACCGCCGAAGCUGUGGAGCCAGAGCUUUGUGUUCUGGUUGGUAGGGGAGCGUCGUGCAUCCGGUGAAGCCGCCGAGUGAUCGUGUGGUGGAGGGUGUGCGAGUGAGAAUGCAGGCAUGAGUAGCGUUUCCAGUGUGGGAAACACUGGCGCCGAUUGACUAAGGGUUCCUGGGGCAGGUUAAUCCGCCCAGGGUGAGUCGGGGCCUAAGGCGAGGCCGUCAGGCGUAGUCGAUGGAUAACGGGUUGAUAUUCCCGUACCCGUUCACGAGCGCCCAGUACCGAGGCUCUUGAUGCUAACCACGCUGAGGGUUCCUUCUCCUUUCGGGGGGUUGGUUCCUGAGGUCUGGGAUCCGAGGGGGUAGUAGGUAAGUGAUGGGGUGACGCAGUGGGGUAGCUCUACCCGGUGGUGGUUGUCCGGGGGUAAGCGUGUAGCCCGGGGUGCAGGUAAAUCCGUGCCCUGUUACAUGGGUGAGGCGUGAUGCCGAGCCGUUUUUGGUGAAGUGAGUGUUCC